rnacentral:tRNA from 1 species
UGUUGCCCAAAGCAGCCUGGUUAGCUCGCGAGGCCCAUAACCUCGAGGUCGCGUGGUUCAAAUCCCGCCCCCGCUA